UACGUAGGGUGCAAGCGUUAAUCGGAAUUACUGGGCGUAAAGCGUGCGCAGGCGGUUUCUUAAGUCUGAUGUGAAAGCCCACGGCUCAACCGUGGAGGGUCAUUGGAAACUGGGGAACUUGAGUGCAGAAGAGAAAAGCGGAAUUCCACGUGUAGCGGUGAAAUGCGUAGAGAUGUGGAGGAACACCAGUGGCGAAGGCGGCUUUUUGGUCUGUAACUGACGCUGAGGCGCGAAAGCGUGGGGAGCAAACAGG
rnacentral:rRNA from 1 species